AUUGAACGCUGGCGGCAGGCCUAACACAUGCAAGUCGAACGAGUGGCGGACGGGUGAGUAAUGUCUGGGAAACUGCCUGAUGGAGGGGGAUAACUACUGGAAACGGUAGCUAAUACCGCAUACCAUCGGAUGUGCACAGAUGGGAUUAGCUAGUAGGUGGGGUAAAGGCUCACCUAGGCGACGAUCCCUAGCUGGUCUGAGAGGAUGACCAGCCACACUGGAACUGAGACACUGUCCAUACUCCUACGGGAGGCAGCAGUGGGGAAUAUUGCACAGUGGGCGCAAGCCUGAUGCAGCCAUGCCGCGUGUAUGAAGAAGGCCUUCGGGUUGUAAAGGACUUUCAGCGGGUAGGCGUUACCCGCAGAAGAAGCACCGGCUAACUCCGUGCCAGCCGGCGCGGUAAUUG
rnacentral:rRNA from 1 species